AUUCGAAGUGUGCCUCAGCCAUCUGGAGCUCCAGGCGUCCCUCAGGCUCUUUGGGCUCCAUGGACAGCUGCAGAUCCACAGGGUAACACUGCUGUGCUAAUGGAUAGAAAAUUGCCUGGAAGGCUGCUGGAAAAGUUGUAGUGGCGACUGGUCCUGAACCACUGAGCGUGGAGUUUCUGAACUGUCCUGCCAGGGGGAUGGGUGAUGUGAAGAGUUCCACUCGUGACUCCCGGAGCAUCCGCAGGUCUCCCGGAGAUGUUCCAGGAACCUCCUUUAGCCGCUGGUCCAGCGCCAGGGACUCUGCUAAUGGACUCCUCCAAGGAAAGUGACUCAGAAGAACACGUAGAAGCCAAGAAGCAGUUGAGAAGGCGUGUGGGGAAGGUGAGCAUCACACACAGGUCUGGCACUGAUCUCCUCAGCCUCCUUUCCCUGCUCCUUCCUGCCUGGACCAGACUGCCUGGGAACAUCCCUGGACAGUGCAACAUCUCUGAAGGUGAACUCUCCCUAGCACCUGGGACUGCUCCAUGCUUGCAGUGGGAACUCUGA
rnacentral:lncRNA from 1 species